AACCUAGAAUUCAUCUCUACUGACCUCUUGCAAAACAUCUCUUCCUCCGGAAUCAUUGUUACUCAUGCCCCCUGCGGUAUGCACGACUUACAUGAUUUUCUUAUCGACUGGUCUGCGGAUGAGCUUAAAAACCCACAUCCUCCUGGUUACGUAAUGAUCAUCUCGAGUGAUUAUAGACUGCUUUACCCUAAGCGUUUUCGGCUUUUUGGAUUCACUACUUUUGUUGCAUAUCCAAAAGGUGUUCGCCUACUUGCCCAUCUUACCCAGCUAAAAUUUAUUGGCCGAGAGUUUGACGAAGUGUUUGCCAAAGAGUUUGUCUGGGAAACCUUAUUGAGUGAUAAUUUGGAUGAAACUUUAUUAUUGAGUGACAACAACACAUGUGAUGAGAAACCUCUCUGCAUUUGCAACAUAUGCUGUUAUGAUUACGAAGUAUGUGACGAAUUCAUCACUCAUCUCAA